rnacentral:ncRNA from 1 species
GAAUAUUAAAAUUUAUAAAGUUUUCUACUACUGGAAUUAAAAGGGAAGGGGGUUAGAAUCCUCCACGGUCCGGCCACUGUAAUUGGUGAGUUUAUUCCAUAAGCCAUUGAGAUAUUCUCAAGAAGGCGGAAAUAAAUGAUGAACCAUAAGUCAGGAGACCUGCUUUAUAUUUAAGAUGCAGC